ensembl:lncRNA
AAAUAUGUAAAUUCCUAUUUCAACAGACAAAAAGAACAGAUUUUAUGAUUUGCAAAGCUCUAAAUUUAUUUGUUUUUUUUAGUCUGCAGUAAGUGUGCAAAGGAUGUCCUCCUGCAGCAACUCUAAAGAGUCAUUUACGGAUGCAAGAGAGCGACAUUCAAGUGAAGGUGGGAAUUACUUAAAUAUUAAUGUAUAUUUUCCAAGCAUAAAAUAUGAGGGUAAAUCUUUAUAUACUUUAGCAGUGACAUAUGGUUACAUCUGAUAUUUUUCUGGUCUAUGCAGAGCAUCAAAACAAAGAUCCACAUGAUUUAUCAAAGGGGCUGGAAGAUAUGAAACGUUUACAGACUCCUAAAUCCACUGACAGACUGGAGACAGAAAAAAUUUCAGACACAAAGACAAAAGAAGAAGACAAAGACUUGGACCAAAUCACAGAGGAAGCAGAGAAAGCGCAAACAGAACAAGGAGAGGCCAAUAGAACAGAGGUCUGUGCACAAACAUCUGCAACGUGGUUUUAGAUAAAAAACAUAUUCUUUGACAGUGAAAUGUAAGUUUUUCAUUUCAAAAUCUGAGAUGAUCUUGUGACCUUUGAAACACUUCAUAGGAACGUCUGAUGGAAAAAGAACAACUGACCAUAAAUGAAGGGUUACACUUUUUGUGUGAAGAUGAUGAUGCUGAGGAUUCACAUAUGACAACAGAAGAGAGCAAAACUGAGACUUCUCAACAUUUACCAAAGCCAGAGGAAGAAAAGCAUGUUGAAGAUGAGCUACAGUGUCAGUUCAACAAAUAUGAGCUGAGCCAGGUUGAAGUUGGACAUAUUCUGCAGCACUGGGACCGAGCCAGGGGCCUGUUGCUGGCUCCUCUUCACCCAGGUCAAACCCAUCCAUGGUUGGAUGAGUUUUCAACAGGAAAACAGCUCCCUGCUGUCCUUAAGAAGAGUAGGAAAGGAGCCCUCAAGAACCUUUCUCCAGUGCCGACUCAGAGAGCAGCAUCAGCUGAAGCUGACUACAAGUCGCCCUCACUCGCCAUUCCUCAAAUUGUCUUGAAAAUAAUGGAGGGCGAUGGAGAAAGUACCUCAGAACAGCUCAUCAGCACCCUCCCUCUACCUGAUGAGGUACUGCAAACAUUAUUUACACCUGGCUUGAUGCUUACACUCAGUUUUAUUUUUGCUAAACACUGUUUUACUUUCUUUAGGUGUUAGAUGAUUUAGGACCAGGUGGACCCCCGAUACGUCCUGCCACUAUGUUCUCUGUUGUUCCUUUCCCCACAUACAGAGACCAAACCAAGGUUCAACAGACAUGCUUCCGAUUCCUUCUUCCCCCAAUCCCAGAUGAAGAAGAAGAGAGCAAAGAUGUAGAGGACGAAACAAAAUUAUCUGUAAAGGUUGUUUUCAUUUUCCACCAAAAACAUAUCGUAACAUUUGAUAAACACACAUUGAGAACCAAAUUAUUCUGUUGACUGUUUUGUGCUCUUUUAGGAGGUGUCAACAGCCUCCAAAAUUUUCAAAAGAAGCAGUUUCAAAGAGAGCGCAGUGCCAAAGGACAGAGAUAAAAAGGUCAAAGAGGUCCAUAAGAGCAAAAGAAUAAAUUCCAGCAAGACUAGAGAAAAGAGCUUGGAUGAGACAAGAGAAGAAAGAAGGCAAGAGCAGCUCACAUACUACAAAACUUCAACUGUUGUGCUUUUGUUCAAGUGUAUUGAUUGUCUGCACUCUUUGUCUAGCCUGAGCACAUUUCGAUGGGUUGUUCCAGCUGGCGGGGAGGUAGGUCUAAAGGUCUGGUUCUACUCAGAAACACCUGGAAAGUUUGAGCAGACCUUCAACUUUGAGCUUGUGGGAACCCGGAAACUCUACCAGCUGACCUGCAGAGGACUCUGCAGCUACCCUUCAAUCUGCAAAGACUACAUGUGAGUCUACUUCGUUUGACCGAACUCCACCGCUGAAGAAAUAGAAUCCUAAAAUUAUAAUUUUUACACAUUAAGAAAAAACAACUAUAAGAAGUUGUUCUGAUUGUGCCUCUUUUUCCCCUUUUAUACCAUGAAUUUAGCAUGUUUGUCUCCACAGGACCUUGUUUGCCAAGAGUAAGAAAGUACCACGAACACAGAAAGGCCUUCAGAAAACGUAUGUGAUAAAACCUGGAUACUUUGAGUUUGGGCCUUUACUCUGCAGCAAAAGCAGAGACAGGUGAGGACAGAGUCACGCUCAAAUUUGCUUUUAUGUCAUGGAUUCCGUCCUUUAUCUGCAGAUCAUCGUGUUUGUGCUCAGGUACAAGGAUGGCAGAUACCCAGAAAACACAGUGAAGCUUUUAAUUCACAACAACUCAAGUCUAGAGGCAGAGAUCCACUUUAGCUUCCAACAUGACACUCAUGCUGCUACAUUUCUGCUGGACCCCCCAACCAUGACACUCAAACCUGACCAGAAACAGGUGCCCCCCCCUUACCUAUCGUCUUGAUUUUUCUUUUUUUCUUUUUUUUGACCGUUGUUUCCUCAUUUCACUGAAAGACUUGUGUUCUUCUAGGAGCUGACAGUGUGGGCCUACCCAACAAAAGAAGGAGAAAUGAAGGACUGCAUUGUUUGUCAAAUCAGGGAUAAUCCUGAACCUGUUAUCAUCAGUCUGUCCUGCUGGGGGGUUCGGCCAGAGCUGGAGUUGGACAACAAGCACUUGCACUUUGGAAAGGUUCUGGUACACAGGUACCAUGAUGCUUAAAAGCAUAAACAACUGAUAACAAAUUAUGGUAUAUAACUUUUAUAAUCAUCUCACCUGGUUCAUAUGAUCUUUUUUAUUUUAGGGAGGACAGCCACAGUGUGAAUGUUCUCAAUAAGACAGUUCUGCCAGUGUGCUGGAGGCUUCAGGGUGUGGAGGAGUUAGGUGAUGAGUUUCUGGUGCCACAGGAUCAGGGUAUUGUCCCACCAAACACCUCUGUCCCCAUAUGCAUGAACUUUAAAGCCAAGAAACCACUUGUUGUCAAGAAGAUCCUACGUUUGGAGGUGAGUUAAACACAUCUCAGAGGAUCAUUUUCUGAUACUUAAAGAUGAUAACACAGAUCUAUGCAGUAGCUAGCUGAUGGGAUUUUUUUUGUUUCAGGUGUCAGAUAUGGAAAAUAUUCUUGGAAUUGUUCAAACUGAAAACAUUAUUGUCUCUGCUGAAGCCUACAACAUCGAAGUGGAGAUCACACCAGGUAGCAUCUGUCAAAGUUUUGUAGAGGUUUGGUUUUAUUUCAGAAUGUAACUGCUGGCAUUUUUAAUGUAUACUGGUAUAAUUAAACUGGUAUUUGUUUCAACAAACUGAAAACAAACCACUCCCAUCGCUGAUACCCUUACAAACAGUUGCUAACUUCAUUUUGUUAGGGUUCUUGGAUUCACAUGAGCUAUGGCACACUUGAAUUUAAGUUUUCUCAAUUACACAAAAAGCUGUCACUCAGUCAUGACUCUCCUCCAUUCUUUAAAUUUAAAAACCAAAUCUGUAAACACGCAGAGAGAGACCUGCGUGAUUUGAUUUAAUUGGGAAAUUAAUUUUAUGGAGACUUAGUUUUAAAAAAUUUAAUAUCCCUUUUAAACUACAUUUUUA